rnacentral:tRNA from 1 species
GGGGAUGUAGCUCAGUUGGUAGAGUGCUUGCCUUGCAUGCAGAAGGUCCUGGGUUCGAUCCCCAGCACCA